AAUUAGCUAAUGGUUAGCUAA
rnacentral:miRNA from 1 species